GACGAACGCUGGCGGCGUGCUUAACACAUGCAAGUCGAACGAAGUGGCGAACGGGUGAGUAACGCGUAAUCAACCUGCCCUUCAGAGGGGGACAACAGUUGGAAACGACUGCUAAUACCGCAUACUGAAGGGGGGGAUUGCGUCGGGUUAGCUCGUUGGGGGGGGAACGGCCCACCAAGGCGAUGAUCAGUAGACGGGCUUAGACGGUGAACGUCAACAAUGGGACUGAGACACGGCCCAGACUCCUACGGGAGGCAGCAGUGGGGAAUCGUCCGCAAUGGACGAAAGUCUGACGGAGCAACGCCGGGGGAGUGAUGACGGCCGUCGGGGUGUAAAGCUCUGUUAAUCGGGACGCGGUACCGGAAUAGAAAGCCACGGCUAACUACGUGCCAGCAGCCGCGGUAAUUC
rnacentral:rRNA from 1 species